GAGGAAAGAACACACUGCAGAACAUGAGGCAGACGAAACAUGUGCACACUUUCAAGAACACCAUGUUUGAGAAAGCCAAAGAUGUCAUGUUGGAGCAGCUCCAGAAAUUGAUGAUGGAUGUCGUGGGUGAUUUGGAAAAAAACAUGAUGGCAUCUAUUGAGCCGUUCCUCAAGACUGAAGACUGUUCAAUUCCAGAUGUGUCAACGGAGCUUGCGAUGGUGCAGAAACUCUGC